AUACGGAGGGUCCAAGCGUUAUCCGGAAUCAUUGGGUUUAAAGGGUCCGUAGGCGGACAAUUAAGUCAGAGGUGAAAUCCCACAGCUCAACUGUGGAACUGCCUUUGAUACUGGUUGUCUUGAAUUAUAGUGAAGUAGAUAGAAUAUGUAGUGUAGCGGUGAAAUGCAUAGAUAUUACAUAGAAUACCGAUUGCGAAGGCAGUCUACUAACUGUAUAUUGACGCUGAUGGACGAAAGCGUGGGGAGCGAACAGGAUUAGAAACCCUAGUAGUCC
rnacentral:rRNA from 1 species